CAACAUUUGGUAAGUUCAUAAACAGAUUGUAGUUGUGGUUCUAAAUAAGUUCAACAGUAAUGGAAAUAAGUUCUAUAAAAUUCCUAAUAAUGCAUGUAAUCAUCAUUUCCAUCUUCUGGUUCUUCAUGUGGUGGUUGCUGUUCUGGAGGUUGCUGUUCUGGUUGGACUGUAUUGGGUACGUCAUUUUGAACUUGAGGAUUUUGAAGGUUUAAAAAUUGUUGUGCAGCCGCGGCUGCUGAAGGCGGAAGGAAUGGCAGGAGGACGCCAAUAAAGCCUUCAAACUUUUGAAGCUGCUGACCAUAUUGUUCUAACUGCGAUUUCAGGUUAACAAUUUCUUCUGAAUUUUGAGGUUGAGCAGUAGAAGAUGCCUGUGUCUGUUGGAUGUAACUAUCAACACAGUCAUCUUGGGAAGUGACAUUUCCAAUGCCGUAUACGCGUCCCUUGUAUUUUCCACCAGCAGCCUCUAACCAACAUCGGUUUCUCAAUCUUUCCUCCUCCGCAGGGUCUAGAGGAGAAGAUGUUGAGACACCAACAGAUGCAGUCUCAGAUCUAAUUUCAGAAAAUUUUGCAACAAAUUGUUCCUGUUAAAUGAAUAAAUAUUAUCAUUACACAUGAGGUUUAAAAAACGAAAAUUUAUAAUGUGAUAGAGUUAGUACAAACUUACAUGGGUUCGCCUAGACCUUUCGUCCACAAAUUCUCCCGUUGAUUGACGAAUAUGUGUCUGCUGAAAUAUUUCAUCAACAUGCACAGACCGACCAAGCUCUUGUGACUGCAAACAAAAGGAGUUGUUAAUAAAUAUUUGUAAAGUUUAUGAUUACAAAUAUAAGAAAAAAAAUGUACAAGUUAUAUACCAAACGAAUAGCAUGCUCAUGUACGCUUAUAGAUCCUCUAGUGUGCAAACAUCCACCCUUAUCAGAUGUCCGAUUCUUCUUUGCCGUUUCACACUUUUGUCUAUAAAGUGGCAUGUUCCACUUUUCCAAAAGAGCAUUCCAAGCAUCGUCCCCCAGCCAAUCAGGUCUUUUUCCUAGAGUUCUAGCUUUUUUAUACAUCUCUGAGAGUCUAUGAGAUGCCUUGGUGUGAUAAUUUUUUUUUACCUUUUCCUCAUCUUCAGGCUUCCAUGAAACCUUUCUCUGUUGUUAUAUUAGAAAUAAUAGGUUUGAAUAAGUAAAGAAGUUCAAAGUAUAAAUUAAAUGCAGGACACCAACUAUUGACUUGUAACAACAGGAUUAGGAAUGAAAAGUUUUUACCUUAAAACGUUCGAAGAAGACAUCUCUGGUUGACUUAGGGAUUGCACCCCAUGUUAGCCAUGGCUCAUCAAACUGUUCCUUGAUGGUUGCUGUGAUUGCCUUGGAUGCAGUUUUUGUAGGAUAAAACCUAAAACAAAAUUAAACUCAAACAUUACAAUAAUACAACAAUGAAUUGUGUAUAUAUUAAUUGAGUUAUUUUUUUUCUUACCCUCCUCCAACGGGUGUAAUCAUUGGACGACUAUUGGAACAUUCUUCCAUGUUAUUGGCGGCUGAACUAGAAUGUGGAUCUGCAUCCUCUAUACCAGGUGAUGCUGCAAUAUUUCUGGGAGUUGAUGGGUUAGAACCAACAUUGGGAGAGAGUGAAGCCUGAAGAUAAGGAGGCACUUGGUAUGGAGUGGGUGUCAAGCCAGGCACUUGUAUUGGAGGUGGAAGAGAUGUACCAAUAGAGGUAGGUGAAGAUGUAGGAACUUGAUGUGGAGUGGGAGUGAAGGCAGGAACAACUAAUGGAGGUGGAACAGAUCUACCAGUAGAGGUAGAGGUAGGUGUAGUUGGUUGACUGGUUGAACCAAUUUCAUUAUUGAAACGUGUCAUCAACUUCACUACGUAAGAUUUCUUUCCCUUGCCCUUAUUAGAAUUUCCUGAAGGUGGAAUAGGAGGGCCAGAAGGACCUGAUGCCAUAUUCUUGAACAUAAUAUAUAUUUUUAUACAAUAGAAGAAAAGAAAAUUCAGAAAUAGUACAAUCAAAGAUAAAUGCAAUAAAAAUCUAUUCUGUAACCAACUUGUGAGAUAAUAUAAUAUUGUGAUUGUGAUGUGUGGAACUUGGUAGAACAUAUGGAAUCACGUGAAUAGUUUUUCACAGUAGUUUUCGCAGGUAAAGUAUUUGCCAAGAAAUUUUCAGCAAGAUUUGGAAUUAGUUAUGUGAGAUUUAUUUAUGUACGAUUAAUAUUCUCAACCACCAAAAACAGACAUAUCCGAAUAACCAGCCAAAUUGAAAUUCAACUUAGAAUCUCUAAGUUCAGAUUGACAAGUAACUAAUAGACAUCUUUGGCAAUUGACAGGAAACUAAUACUUUGGAUUAACUCAAAUGCUAAACACUGAAACUCAAGUCUUGGGCUUUUAUUACAUUUGAGGUUACCCAAUUGAUUAUUUUUGCUGCCAUGAUAGUUAAAUUUAUUUCUCAAAGAAAAUGGAGAAGUAUAUAACUUAAUCCAAGUGGUAAGAUAACAAGAUUGUUUUUCUUAAAUGAACUUUUGGGGGUGACUAAGUGUUGUAAAGAGAGUAAGUGGUAGUAUAGCUUGUGAGUCCAAUGGCUUUAAUUUGGAUUAGUUGGAAACUGAGUUGACUUCUCCACGUGAAGGAUCUAAGACAAAUAAAAAAGAAUUCUAACUACUAACAUGAUAUUAUAAAAAAAAAGGGGGCACACUUACUCUUGGCUGAAACAUUUUAGGAAGAGGGAGAGCAAUUUCAGAAUUUGGAGAAGCACAACAUCACACGGCCAGCAGCAAACACAAGAAGCAUUGGUUUGGUCCAAGAAGAAUUUGGAAGUCCAGCUGCCAUUUGUUGAUUGGAAGGGGGGUUGCAUGCUUGCUGAAGAACAUCUCUCGGUCCAUGGAUUCUAGGGAGAAGGAGAGAAUGUUUUUCUUGGGAGAGGAUGCAGAGGACAAUAAGGAGACGACACACGGCCAGAAGAAGAGAGUCUCUCCUCUCGGAAUUUUUGGGCUCUCAACAGUUCUGAGUGUUCCAUCUUUUCAUCUUCUUCUAUGAGAGAAAAAACGUAAGAGUGCAGAGAACAUGGGUGGAGAAUGAAAGAAGAAAUGGUGCAGGGGUGAGAGGCUUGAUAGAAGAAAAUUUAGAGAUGAUCCUAAGUAGAAAAAAUGAGGAUUAUAUGCUCACAACAAAGUCUUCCAGAAAAGGCAUAGUAAACUUUAGCAACAAAAAUAUAUGCUCACAACAAAGUCUUCCAGAAGAACUCUAGCUUAUUGCACGUGAAGAUUAUAGGCAUCAGUUUUUGUCAACAUGAAACACUAAUUGGCAUAGCUACAUCCAAGCACAAGCAAAUUGAUUGAAGAAAAAUGAGGAAGCUAGAUGCUAGGAGAGGAGACAAGCCUAGAGCCUAUGGUCAGAAGGAGACAACACAAGGAUUUGGAGAUCUCUCUUAAAUUCUUCCUCUCGGCAAUUUGAAGGACAUCAUCUUUUCUUCUUUUCACGUGGAGGAUAGAAGAGUAUUACAUAGAUCAUGGCUUGAUGAAUGAAGGGAAGGUGAUGGUGUGAGAUGAUACGUCCAAAGAGCUAGAGGAGGGAAGCAAAUCUGUAUUUGAUUCUUGAAACACUACUGGAAGAAGACACAAGACCAAGAGGCAGCUAGUUUGUUUCCUUUACUUUGCUUUGCUUCUUUGUACUUUGAAUAUUUUCUUUUCUUGAGAGAACUGGAGAAUGUUUUCAUGAUGAAUGAUAGGUGAUGUUUAUUCCUUUUGUAGAAUUCUGCUUGCAUCUUUAAUUUGAUUUUCUGCACAUUCAUAAAAUCUUUACUAGCAUUCUAUAACUUUUGUGAAAGAGAUAGCAUGUUCGGUCAUUUCAUUUUAGAAGCAAAGUAACUCGUUAAAAAGUGUCCACCCUUUCAUAGAAGUAGAUUGCCAUCAUCUAAAUAAAAAAAGAACAAAAAUAUUCUUUAUUUGGAGAAAGGAGCUCACGGUGUAGAGAAGAUAUGAACCUUGUGCAACUUUGGAAGUGCUGAUUUGUUUCUGCUGUAUGGAAGAGUAAACCACACACACUUAUUUGUUUGCUAAAGAGUAGAGAGGAAGAGAAGGAUUUGUUACGAAGGGGAGAAGUGAUUUUUGAUGAGAAGGGAACGUAGUUGAAGAAGGAGGAAAGGAGAGUGCAGCUGGAAUGGAUGCAGCAAAGUGGACGGUCAUUAGGUUAUAGGAAGGGUGUGUGCGUAAAUACCAAAAAACAUGAUUUACAAGGAGGCACCGAAUGAAAAUCAACCACAGCCCCAAAAAGGAAACCCAAAAGUACUAAAAUAUGUUGGAUUCAUAGACAUUUCAGAGAUUAUAACUUCUUAAGAACACUAUAGAAGGUGAUACUCGACUAACUUUAAUUGUUUAUAUUGUGUUUGGUUUCUGAAAAGAGAAAUAGAGCGAAUGGAAAUAGGACAGAAACAAGUUGAAAAAGAGAGAAAUAAGUAAAAGAUAAAAUUGAAUGUUCAGUGAUUUGAUAGAGUAGAAAUGGGAGAGAAAUAGAGACAUAACCUUUUGAAAGUUCUAUAAUUUGAUAGAAAAUAGGAAGAGAUAGAGGGGGUGAAUAGAUGUAUGCAACAAAUAAUAUAGUGGUCCCCGAAUUUAUUUCUUUUCUCCUUUCCCUCUAUCAAACGCUAAAAAUUCUUCCCCCUCCUCCUCCAUCCUUCCCCUCCACUCCACCAAAAGACACCCUUACUGAACGUUUUGAGGGCAAAAAAUAGUAAAAAUCAGAUCCCAUCUAAACUAUUCACCAGAAAUUCCAACAUGCAAGAAAGAAGUUAAAUUCAUCUGUUGUUAAUCACUCUACUGCAGCAGCUACCAACAUUGUGUAUUUUAGUUUGUUGUAUUUUGUUGCUGUAAUUUUAAUUCUGUUUCCAUAUUUGAAUUUUUUCUGUUUUCUGUUUUUACUGUUUACUGUAUUUUCGUUUUCUGUAUUUUCGUUUUUCUGUAUUUUCUGUUUUCUGUUCCAGAAUUGUUUUUAUUGUUUCAUGUUAUGUUAAUUUCAUUUUCACUAUACCAAUUUCGUUUAAUGUUAAGACUGAGGUUUUUGCAAUAAAACUGAGGUAUUUGCAAUAAAACUCUAUUAGUAAAUGUUUAAUGUUAAGACUUACAUUCAUAAGAACUUAAGAUUGUGGACAACAUUAUAAAUGCAACAAAAAUAAGGAGGAACACACCCUAACUCUAUUCAGUGCUAGAACUAUGAAAUUCAUCUUCAUUGUCAUCUUCACCCUGUUCCUCUGCAUUGCAUUCUUCUGAUUCUGUUGUUUCUUCAUCUAUCUGCCCUUGAAAUGAUGAAAUAUUGUUAGGGUUCACUUCUUCAAGACCAGCAUCUACAUCUUGUAAUCGGACUACUUCUUCAACAUCAAUGACGUCAUUAACAUGUGACAUUUCCUCCACUUGGUAUGGCACAUCGGCUUCUACAUCAUUCGAAUCAAUGCGACCUCUAGGCUUCGUUUUUAUCGCAACACACCAACCUCGUUUGUCCGUGCGUGAUGUAGGAUAUGGUACAUAAUACACUUGUUGUACAUUAUGUGCAAUUAUAAAAGGAUCAAACAACACAUAUCUUUUGGUAUGGUUGUUGAUUUCACAGGCAUGGUUGUUCUUUUAUGACAGCAAGAGGGAGACAGCUAAGAUGUUUGAAGGCAAAAGUAGAUUUUGGGAUGGAAUUGGUUGGUGUGCAACAAUUAUUGUUUUUGUGACAGUGUUAAAAAAACACAGUGUGUUCAAAGAUCUUUAGCAAAUAAACUAGGAGUGCAGAAUAAAAUUCCUAAUUCUAGCUAGUCUAGGUAGCCUAAAAUGUGCAUAAUGAGUCAAAACACAACCACUAUGGGAGUUUGAGUCAGAUGUAUUGUUAUCUCAUUUAAGGAGCUCCAGCCAAAGCACUGUGGAUUGGUGUCAGACAGCUGAAGGCUACAUAUUAAAAGCAGAAACACCGGUGGUUUGUCAAAACAGGAACUGGAAAAAAUAACAUUCAAGUCGUUGUUGAUAAGGGGAAGGUUGUGGAAAUUAGUGGACCGUGGAAGCAGCAAAGAGACUCAAAGGCCCAUGACUGGAGGUGUGGCCAUUGGUGGGAACAUGGAUAUGUGAGAAGGCUUCAGAUGCCAGAGGAUGCAGAUUGGAAGAAUAUAGAAGCAUACAUACAUUACGACAUAUA
rnacentral:sRNA from 1 species